CCUACGGGAGGCAGCAGUGAGGAAUAUUGGUCAAUGGACGAGAGUCUGAACCAGCCAAGUAGCGUGCAGGAUGACUGCCCUAUGGGUUGUCAACUUCUUUUAUACAGGAGUAAACGCAGGCACGUGUGCCUGUCUGCAUGUAUCUUAUGAAUAAGGAUCGGCUAACUCCGUGCCAGCAGCCGCGGUAAUACGGAGGAUCCGAGCGUUAUCCGGAUUUAUUGGGUUUAAAGGGAGCGUAGAUGGGUUGUUAAGUUAGUUGUGAAAGUUUGGGGCUCAACAGUGAAAUUGCAAUUGAUACUGGCGGUCUUGAGUGCAGUUGAGGUAGGCGGAAUUCAUGGUGUAGCGGUGAAAUGCUUAGAGAUCACAAAGAACCCCGAUUGCGAAGGCAGCUUACUAAACUAUGACUGACAUUGAUGCUCGAAAGUGUGGGUAUCAAACAGGAUUAGAUACCCGUGUAGUC
rnacentral:rRNA from 1 species